GCCAGAUUAGUUUAGUGGUAAAACGGCUACCUUGUAAGUAGCAGUCUUGUGUUCAAUUCACGGAUUUGGCA